rnacentral:rRNA from 1 species
UUUUCUUUGGUAGCAAUACCGAAGGAAGUCUAGCGGCGAACGGGUGCUUAACACGUGGGCAACCUGCCAGGAAGUGGGGGAUAGCUCGCCGAAAGGCGAAUUAAUACCGCAUGUGAUUAGAGAGGACCAUCCUUUCGAAAUUAAAGUCGGGGCAACCUGACGCUUCUUGUGGGGCCCGCGGCCUAUCAGCUAGUUGGUGGGGUAACGGCUCACCAAGGCUUUGACGGGUAGCUGGUCUGAGAGGACGACCAGCCACACUGGGACUGAGACACGGCCCAGACACCUACGGGUGGCAGCAGUCGAGAAUUUUUGACAAUGGGGGAAACCCUGAUCGAGCGACGCCGCGUGGAGGAUGAAGGUCUUCGGAUUGUAAACUCCUGUCAUUGGGGAACAAGGUGCAUACGUUAACUGCGUGUGCAUUGAUAGUACCCGAAGAGGAAGAGACGGCUAACUCUGUGCCAGCAGCCGCGGUAAUACAGAGGUCUCAAGCGUUGUUCGGAUUCAUUGGGCGUAAAGGGUGCGUAGGCGGCGCGGUAAGUCGGGUGUGAAAUCUCGGAGCUUAACUCCGAAACUGCAUUCGAUACUGCCGUGCUUGAGGACUGGAGAGGAGACUGGAAUUUACGGUGUAGCGGUGAAAUGCGUAGAUAUCGUAAGGAAGACCAGUGGCGAAGGCGGGUCUCUGGACAGUUCCUGACGCUGAGGCACGAAGGUCAGGGGAGCAAACGGGAUUAGAUACCCCGGUAGUCCUGACAGUAAACGGUGCACGUUUGGUGUGGGAGGAUUCGACCCCUUCUGCGCCGGAGCUAACGCGUUAAACGUGCCGCCUGGGGGAGUACGGUCGCAAGAUUAAAACUC